CUUCAACUAGUCAACAAAUGCGCUGCAACAGGUGCGCUCCCAGAAGAAAUGCUCUUGGCACAUAUCUCUACUCUCCCCAAACCCGGCAAACCCCCUACACAAUGCAAAAACUUCCGGCCUAUAUCCCUUCUAAAUGGAGAUGCCAAGCUAUACGCGAAGCUUCUCAGCAACCGACUCGCCCCCCUCCUGCAUAAAAUAAUCCACAACGACCAAUCUGGGUUUAUCAGAGGCCGCCAAGGCUCGGACAACACCAGAAAAAUUUUAAAC